GUAAAACUCUGUUAUUAGGGAAGAACAAAUGUGUAAGUAACUAUGCACGUCUUGACGGUACCUAAUCAGAAAGCCACGGCUAACUACGUGCCAGCAGCCGCGGUAAUACGUAGGUGGCAAGCGUUAUCCGGAAUUAUUGGGCGUAAAGCGCGCGUAGGCGGUUUUUUAAGUCUGAUGUGAAAGCCCACGGCUCAACCGUGGAGGGUCAUUGGAAACUGGAAAACUUGAGUGCAGAAGAGGAAAGUGGAAUUCCAUGUGUAGCGGUGAAAUGCGCAGAGAUAUGGAGGAACACCAGUGGCGAAGGCGACUUUCUGGUCUGUAACUGACGCUGAUGUGCGAAAGCGUGGGGAUCAAACAGGAUUAGAUACCCUGGUAGUCCACGCCGUAAACGAUGAGUGCUAAGUGUUAGGGGGUUUCCGCCCCUUAGUGCUGCAGCUAACGCAUUAAGCACUCCGCCUGGGGAGUACGACCGCAAGGUUGAAACUCAAAGGAAU
rnacentral:rRNA from 1 species